rnacentral:rRNA from 1 species
UACGAAGGGUGCGAGCGUUAAUCGGAAUUACUGGGCGUAAAGCGCGCGUAGGUGGUUUGGUAAGCGAUAUGUGAAAUCCCCGGGCUUAACCUGGGAACUGCAUGUCGAACUGCCAGGCUAGAGUAUGGUAGAGGGGUGUGGAAUUUCCAGUGGAGCGGUGAAAUGCGUAGAGAUUGGAAAGAACACCGAUGGCGAAGGCACUUUACUGGGCUAUUACUAACACUCAGAGACGAAAGCUAGGGUAGCAAAUGGG